GCACUGCUGACGAGACCCAAAAAGGUCGAAACAGCUGUCCAGUGU
rnacentral:hammerhead_ribozyme from 1 species